UACGGAGGGUGCGAGCGUUGUCCGGAAUUACUGGGCGUAAAGCGCGUGUAGGCGGUCUCGCAAGUCGGGUGUGAAAGCCCAGGGCUCAACCCUGGAAGUGCAUUCGAUACUGCGAGGCUAGAGUCCCGGAGAGGAUGGUGGAACUCUCGGUGUAGAGGUGAAAUUCGUAGAUAUCGAGAAGAACACCGGUGGCGAAGGCGGCCAUCUGGACGGUGACUGACGCUGAGACGCGAAAGCGUGGGGAGCAAACAGG
rnacentral:rRNA from 1 species